AAAGCGUGCGCAGGCGGUUAUAUAAGACAGAUGUGAAAUCCCCGGGCUCAACCUGGGAACUGCAUUUGUGACUGUAUAGCUGGAGUGCGGCAGAGGGGGAUGGAAUUCCGCGUGUAGCAGUGAAAUGCGUAGAUAUGCGGAGGAACACCGAUGGCGAAGGCAAUCCCCUGGGCCUGCACUGACGCUCAUGCACGAAAGCGUGGGGAGCAAACAGGAUUAGAUACCCUGGU
rnacentral:rRNA from 1 species